AUUGAACGCUGGCGGCAGGCCUAACACAUGCAAGUCGAGCGAGCGGCGGACGGGUGAGGACUGUCAGGGAACCUGCCAGAGGGGGGGAGAUAACGACUGGAGGCGGUAGCUACUCACACAUCCCAUCAGAUGUGCCCAGGUCGGAUUAGCUAGUGGGUGGGGUAAAGGCUCACCGAGGCGACGAUCCCUAGCUGGUCUGAGAGGAUGACCAGCCACACUGGAACGGAGACACGGUCCAGACUCCUACGGGAGGCAGCAGUGGGGAAUAUUGCACCAUGGGCGCAAGCCUGAUGCAGCCAUGCCGCGUGUGUGAAGAAGGCCUUCGGGUUGUAAAGCACUUUCAGUGGGGAGGCGUUACCCGCAGAAGAAGCACCGGCUAACUCCGUGCCAGCAGCCGCGGUAAUAC
rnacentral:rRNA from 1 species